GUUAAGACAAGCCCCUCCCAUAGAUUUCUGUGCUAUUUGGAGAACUUGGGCACUCAGAUCCAUGCAGUAUAGUGGAAACUCCACCGUGUUAAAGUUCUGACCCAAUAUAGUUCCAGGGCAUUUGGUGCUUUGGCUGGUCAACUUUCUGGAGCUCCUGCGUCCAAAAUAUGGGGUGCUCCAUCUGGCUCUCAGGUAGCGUUUGUUUACCUUAGUCUCAGGCACCUUCACCCCAAAAAGCGAUUUCCAGGUGAGUUGCAAAGUCAUUCAAAACCCCAG